AUGUAUCACCUUAUACCCAUUAACGGCUCAUUAUUCCGUUGGGCCGUUUCCAGCCCAUUUAUCUUUCGUCCUUCUCAGAGCCCAUUUAUUCUUGGGCUCAUUUCUAGCAUCGUUUACUUACGGCCCAUUACUGUCGUUUUCUGCUUGUGGGCCAAAUUUAGCUCGUGGUUACAGUCGGCCCGUUUGUGGUCCGUGGGACCCAUCCAAAAUAAAAAUAAAAAACUCUGCCAAGUCAAACUAGUCAACAUUGACUAG
rnacentral:rRNA from 1 species